AUGAAGAGGAUGAUGCAAAAGAUUAUCUCCACAAGAAAAGGGAAAGUAGGAAGGGCGAAGGAAGGAACAACACAGCGGAGGACCGAGGCGCAGCGGUGGAGGUGUCGAUGGGGGCGUCCCCGGCAAUAUGCCCAGGCUGAUGCGGCAGAGAACAGAAGGGGCGCCGGUUACGAGAGCGAGCUUGAGCGCGGAGGCAAGCCGGUCGGCCGCGAGCUGAUUGAUGCGGCAGAGGACCGAGGCGCAGCGAUGGAGGUCUCGAUGGGGCCGUCGCCGGCGGAGGACCCCGAGGCGCAGCGGGAACACGCUCGAUGGCAACAGAAGGGGGGCGAGAUUCACCAGCAGGUCGGACUACUGGAGCAAGACCGGCGUCGCCUUCCUGAAGCAAGAUUUGGGCAGCAGCCCGGCGGCUCUCUCUUAUCUCUCCCUGAAGCAAGAGGUGGACAGGAUGAAGUAACAACAUGUGGACAGAGAAGCGAGGCGUAA
rnacentral:rRNA from 1 species